rnacentral:lncRNA from 1 species
UUUUGAGUCAGACUCACUAUCAUUGGUUGGUUAAAUAACAAAAUGCAAGUUCAGAAACUGCACAUGAUAGGAAUUCAACCUUAAUAUAUCAACCUUAAUAUAUGCUAUAUGCAAGAGUCAUGUUGACUACUAAUCCUCAGUUUGCUCAUUGGCAAAGUGGAAAUUUCUCUCUCUCCUCUCCCCAUUUGAUCAUCAGGACUCUGAGACUGAGCAAGUGGGGCUGAUUUUCAGGUGGGGAACAAUGCAGGCUGGAAGUUAUAUGUUUGAAUCCAGGUUCUGCCACUGGUUAACCAUAGGGGAAAUUAGCUACUUCCAGAAUAUCUUUGACCCUGAUUUCCCUCCUAUAAUGGGGCUCUUUCCAUUCCAGGUUACUGUGAGGACUGAAUGGGAUCCUGUCUGGAUGAGAAGCUGGCGUGCAACACAAUUUUUCCUUCACAGCCUGCCUUUAGCUGUUUUGGGCUACAGGAGUGAAUUUUCCCUGGAGGUACAAAUCUCAUGAGACCCUCCCCCCAGAGGGGUCCUUCAUGUGACUUCUAUCAGAGCUCAAUUCCCAAGGGAAGCCAGCUAUAGAAUACUGAAUAUAGAAUAUAUUUCCAUACUUGAAGAUGAGCAUUCCACUUCCAUAGGGGAAAGUCCUGGAAGAAGAAACCAGUAUAGCUUAC